AACACACCUAACGAAUGUUAUUUAGCAAUGUAAACUACCAGUGCCUAUAAGGAAAAAAUAGGUUACUUAUAUGUGUGUAAAGAGAGGCGAGGGAUACUCUAGGGACAAAGAAUACAAAAUUAAAAAAAUAAACUGACAAAGCCAUGACUAAAAAAGAAAAAUAAUAACAAACAAACAAUAGUACCACCACACAACAACGAGAACUAAAUACUGAGCAUCACGAUCCC
rnacentral:lncRNA from 1 species